ACCGAGAAAAGCAGUCUCUCAUCCUCUCUUCUUCUCAAAUUUCUACGAAUCAGGUCCUUAAUCUUUUCCUUUUUCUCUGCUUAUGCAGUAAUUUAUACGUUUCUUCAUUUUCCCUUUGCUUUUAUGCUCGAUUUCUGCUUCUGUUCGUAGCCUCAUUUUUGAUUUUUUUGGGAAAUUUGUUUGCUUGGAUGAAAAUGAAACUUGGGGUUCUUUGGAUUUCUGAUGGUUUAGCUUAGUUAUGGUUAGAAUAGCUCAGAUUUCGUUGGCUUAGUCUGAUUUAACGAGAUUUCGUUGGGCGAUUUUUGUUUAUUUUGAUUUGAGCAUUUUGUGCAUUUGAUUUUUAGGUUUGAUUUAGAUUAGGGUUUCAUUUGCAUCGAAAAUGUUCUUACUAUUUUUGUUAAAUUUUUCUUUUUCUUCUUGCUGCUGCUUGUUUCGCGUCAGUCGAACUAACGAUUUGGUGUUUGAGAAAAUCUCAGAACCCAUAAGUAGCCGUUAGUUUUUCCUUAAAAAAAAAAUAAUUUUUAUUACCCCUCCUACCCCGGUGGCUGUUUGGUUGAGGAGAAAGUGUGGGAAAAGGAAAGAAAAAUUAGCAUAUAUAGUGUAUACAUUUAAGCUAUUAGUGCCCUCAUUUGUUUAUAUUUUGAUUGUAAAAGUUUAUAGCUCAGCUAAACAAUUCUAUUCUCUUGGUCCUAAUUUAUCAAUUAAAUC
rnacentral:misc_RNA from 1 species